AUGAGUACUAACACUGAGCCUACCCUUUGCUGAUUUGCAUGUACCCAAAGCACAGCCCACUGACAUGAGGAGUUCUUCAUAGUCAGGUCACACCCUGUAGUGGAGUCAGCCUCACACAGAUCACACACAGACAUGAGUGUGCCCACUCAGCUCCUGGGGUUGCUGCUGCUGUGGCUUACAGAUGCCGGAUGUGACAUCCAGAUGAUUCAGUCUCCAGCCUCCCUGCCUGCAUCUGUGGGAGAAACUGUCACCAUCACAUGUGGAGCAAGUGAGGACAUUUACAAUGCUUUAAGUUGGUAUCAGCAAAAAUGUGGAAAAUCUCCUCAGCUUCUGAUCUAUGGUGCAACCAGCUUGACAAAUGGGGUCCUAUCGUGGUUCAGUGGCAAUGGAACUGGCACACAAUUUUCUUUGAAGAUCAACAGCCUACAGCCUGAAGAUAUUGCAAGUUAUUACUGUAAACAAGAUCAUAGUACCCUUCCCACAGUGAUACAAGCCAUAACAUAA